rnacentral:rRNA from 1 species
AUCGAACGCUGGCGGCAGGCCUAAUACAUGCAAGUCGAACGAGUGGCGGACGGGUGAGUAAUGUCUGGGAAACUGCCUGAUGGAGGGGGAUAACUACUGGAACCGGUAGCUAAUACCGCAUACCAUCAGAUGUGCCCAGAGGGGAUUAGCUAGUUGGGGGGGUAACGGCACACAAAGGCGACGAUCCCUAGCUGGCCUGCGAGGAUGACCAGCCACACGGGAACGGAGACACGGUCCAGACUCCUACGGGAGGCAGCAGUGGGGAAUAUUGCACAAUGGGCGCAAGCCUGAUGCAGCCAUGCCGCGUGUAUGAAGAAGGCCUUCGGGUUGUAAAGUACUUUCUGCGGGGAGGCGUUACCCACAGAAAAAGCACCGGCUAACUCCGUGCCAGCAGCCGCGGUAAUAC